rnacentral:miRNA from 1 species
UUUGUGUUGUUUUUUGUUUU